GUGGGGAAUCUUGGACAAUGGGGGCAACCCUGAUCCAGCGAUGCCGCGUGAAUGAAGAAGGCCCUUGGGUUGUAAAGUUCUUUCACCUGUGACGAUAAUGACGGUAACAGGAGAAGAAGCCCCGGCUAACUCCGUGCCAGCAGCCGCGGUAAGACGGAGGGGGCUAGCGUUGUUCGGAAUGACUGGGCGUAAAGGGCGCGUAGGCGGUUGAUUAAGUUAGACGUGAAAGCCUCAGGCUCAACCUGAGAACGGCGUUUGAUACUGGUCGACUUGAGGACGAGAGAGGAAAGUGGAAUUCCGAGUGUAGAGGUGAAAUUCGUAGAUAUUCGGAGGAACAUCAGAAGCGAAGGCGGCUUUCUGGCUCGUCCCUGACGCUGAGGCGCGAAAGCGUGGGGAGCAAACAGG
rnacentral:rRNA from 1 species